UUAUCUAAUUUUGUAUUUCAUAUCACAUUACUUUAGUUAUUUUUUUCAUUAUAUAAUACGGGAUUGCAAUUUUGACUAUAAACGAUUUAAAAAAAAUAAAUAAAUAAUAAUAAAGGUGGUUAAUAAUUAAUUUAAAAUAUACUUGUGAAAUUGUUUUAUUAAAGUGUAUUAUAUUAGAAAGUAAUUUCCAAAGUUUUUCUUACAGAAUGAUGUGGUAAGGCAGGCCCAAAACGUGUACUUCCUUUAUUAAAAAAAGGAACAUACAUUGAAGUCCCAAUUAACAAUAUAUUUUUGUUUACAAGUUCUUAUCAUCAUUCCAUAGAAAGGAAAAUAAGUUGUUGAAUUCGCUUCUCGUGGCAACACCACGCAAUCUUUGGUUGUAUGCUUAAUACAGUGUUUACGUUGUGAAUUUGUAAAAGUUCAAUAUAAUGAAAAAAUUUCUGAUGUUGUUUAGAGUUUUUAUAAACAAUUACAUGAAAUAUUGAAGAAACCACUGUUUUUGGGAAAAGUGCAAACGUUUGAAAUGUUUACGAAAGAUGUUUUAAGGAGAAUGGUUCUUUCUGAUUAAAAUGUGAGCUGAAAGCUUGAAUUAUAAAUAUAAAAUCGGUUUGUCAUAUAAAUUGAGAAACAUUGAAAAUCGUAUACAACUAAUUAAAGUACCUGUUUCUGAAGAUGAAUCGGACCUCAACACUACCGAAAGCGACUUGGCUGUGCAUGACAUAAACAUAGUUCGAAAGAAUGCAAUGAAAAAAAUUUCAAAUUGAAAAAAGUUUGCAGGGAGCACGUAGAAAGUUUGCCAACAUAUUCAGGAAAACAAACUGCAAAUAGCCAAAUCUCAGUUACAAAAGAAACACUUACUAGAAAGUAUUUAUAGUUAGUAUAAAACUGACUGUAACGUUUGUAUAAUUCAAAGUUUAUCAUAUAUUUCAAGGGAAGUGAAGUCUUUUUAUCGCGCAAUAUUGAAACACUGUUAUAAAGCGUAGAGGAAGCGAAGCACAAUGUCAUCAUUUUAGGUGCAUAUAAAUACGGAUUAAAAGCCUUGCGCAAUAUUUUGGAUGCUUCAAAUCUUAAGUACGACAAUGUUGAAGAAAUCAUUACUGAUGUUCGCGAAGCAAUAGAAACCUAUAAAAAAGUAUAAAAUGCCCUCAGUAAUGGAAUUCGUAAUACACGGCGUUAAAUGACGAUGACGAAUAAGAAGGCGAACUUUCGCCAAUCAUGAAAGAUAAUAGCAAAAUAAUCGCAGACACAAGAUCAGUUCCGGAACUAAAGAACGUCAACACAAUGAAAUUUGAAACAAUGUUGCUAGUGGAUGAAUUAGUUGUAAAUACGUUGGAGGGAUUGGAGAUUGAACAAGAAAACCCCAUCAAAAACCAGGAAAUACCCUUAAAAUUAAGCAGUUAGGCCUUUCUUUAAUUAUUCAUAUAUGCUCUGUAUGUAGUAUUAUCAAAGUGAACGUCCGCAUUGUCAUCAAUGCAGGGAAAAUGAAAACAAUUUGAUUACUUGACCAUUGCAGGUAUUUAGGAUAAUGGCUCUGUUGCUGGAGUAUGGUUCAGAUUGUUUAUAGUAUGGUUUUUAAAAUGCGUUAAUAAGGACAGCACAACUAAUUUAAAGCAAUCGUAAUAAGUCUUUCUCGGUGUAACACCCUAGGUAUAGGAGCAUUUGAUUUAAUUUACACUGUGAAAAAUAGGAAUUUCUUGGCAAAUUUCACCAAUUUCUCGAUGCAGAAGUUAUAGUACUCAAUUCGUGGGCUGGUGAAUGCCUUUCGACAUUUUUCGUUGUGGGCGGAUCUUGCCCUUUUGACUAUCUAUCAAGGUAAAUAUUCAUAUGCUGUGUGUCUACGCGAUUAAAAGUGAUAUUAUUAGACAACAGUAGCCUCUAAGAAAUAAGUCGACGGUGAUGUUCUGUCGGCUGCUUUCCGGACAAAUGGUAUCAUCAACCGUAUCGUUGCCCAAGAUUUGCGAGCACAUACGCACGUGAAUGUUAUUGAAGUCGAUAAUAUUGAUACUAAUUGACGGCCACUUGGAAACAUUCAAUCUGCCGUCGUGAAGUACAUUUUGUAUUCGACUGAAUUCAUCGGCUUUACCAGCAAUACCAGAAUAUAAGUCAAACUGAUUGUCAGAAGAACGCUCAUUUCGCUUAAUCAAUGUAGUUAGUUAACUCGUCUGAAAUGUUCGCUUGCAUUUAAUUCAUACAUAUUCAUUAAAUUCCUUGAAAUCAUAUGGUGAAUGCAAUUGAUGCUGAUAUCUCCACAACUAGACAAUAUAUUUUAUUUUAGUUAGAGUACAUAUAUAUACGUAUAUAUUCGAAAAUUUUAGAUAUAUUCAAAAUUUAAUAGUUUUGCGAUAAUUUCUUUAAAACUAAAAUUAAUGAAAUUCGCUUAAGGAAAUUCAAUCAUUCUAUGCUGACAUUGUAAGUUUACGUUCAUGUUAGAUGUUUCUGUUUUUGUUCUAUUUAAGCGUAUAAAAAAGAUCGUCUUAUAGGUUUGCAGGUUAUGUAUAUGUAUUGUGAGGAGCCAAAGUCAGACCUCGGUUUGGCGUCACAGUUUCUCCGUCUAUGUUGGGAGGAGAAUGCUAAGUUAAGGUAGAGGAUAAGUUAGAGAAUAAGUUAGGGAGAUGAAAAUAGGAUAAAAGUAGGCUAAAAUAGAGAAAAGUAAAUUAGUUUAGAGGAGUCGGUUGCGAGCAGCUAGAGCGACGAGACGCCUCGCUCGCUGUAAAUACGGAUUUUAUAAUUUUUUUGAAGUAAAGGAAAAUAUUUAAAUAAAGUGAUAAAUUGUUGUAACAAACGGAACUAUAAAUUUCUUGUGAAAUGGGACCUGGGCCGCUAAGCUACCCCAGCCUCAGAAAACGGGAAAGUUAUGCCCUCACAGGUGACGGCCGAGCAGGGACUUUUACAAAAAAAAAAAAAAAAAUAAAAAAAUAUAGGAAUAAUUAUUGAACGAAUACGGAGAGAAGAAAUCACAAGAAAAUUUAAUUAUGAGGUGUUAAUAAAAUCUUUAUUAAGCGUCGGAAAAAAAAGAAAAUGAUAUCAAUAACUUUCGAAACACAUAAAAAAAAAAAACAAGAUAAUAUAUAGUAAAACUCUUCACUCAUUGUCGUAAAUGUUGUUGAAAUCACCGAAGGAAAUCAUAUGAAUAAGGGAUGAAACGAGUAUUUGUAUGAUUUGUAUGCAAAAGGUAUAAUAAAUAGAAGAUGCCAACAAGCAACCAAGAAAACGUAACCGCCUAAUGUGCUUGUUGCGAGCACGCAACAACAAUGACGGGAAUUUGAAUGCCCAUAAGAACCCACGUAAACUAAAAUACCGCAAAGUGUUUGCGGAACCACCACGCAUAAUAAGGCGAAUUGGUAAUAACAACUUUGCCGGAUGGUCUGCAUAAGAUAAGGCGAAAUGACAUUCUUCUUCAGAUACCAACGAGAUAAUAAGUGAUCGCGGACAAUUGCGAGAAAAAAAUAAAAUAAAUAAAAAACACAAAAACUAACAAAGCCGAGAAAAUAUUUCAAAAGUCCACAUUAAAGUAAAAUAAAAUAAGGAAAAACCAAAACGGGAGAGAAUUACAUUAAACAAAACCGAGAAUAAACUAAUAUCCGACAAAUUAAUAAAAACGAAAACAAGAAAAAUUUAAAAGACUUCAAUUAAGAGUUUUAACGAGAAAAGUGAAUAUCAUUGCUGGAGGUUUCAUUCAUUGCGGCGACUGUCGUGUCAAAUUUAUGAUACCUCUUUUUUUGGUUCGAAGAAUGCAUUAAAUUCUAGAAGUAUUAGAGGGUUUACAAGCAGAUAAAAGCUCCUAAGGGUCCCUUGCUGUAAAAAUUCUGGACGUUAAAAGAGAUCUUAGAAAGAAAAAAUUCGAAUCCCGAUACCACCAACAACAAAGCAGCAACAACAAGGUUUGAGUUCAGACAAGUCCCGUGUACUGACUGGUAGAACAUUUUCGACUUCCUCAUGUCGUUUAUAUGGUAAUUGCUGCUAAAAUCUAUUUUAAAUCUCCAUUUACUAGCACGACAUUGAAGAUUUAUUAAUUAAUUUUUGUAAUAAUAAGAACAACAGCAAAAAAACAAAGCAGCAACAACAGGGUGUGAGUACAGGUCAGUAAGCAAGCAACGUGUGUAUAUGUACACUAAAGCAUCUGCUACUGGAACUCAAUUUUCUCGUUAGUGGCUAAGGUGCCCGACGUGCAGCUAAUCCGAUAUAUGAUUACUUUUAUAGUUACCCAAAGCUAGUUAACACCCUACACAACACCACUCAAUUACGGUGUGUGUCUGUGUUGUAUUUUGUUUCUUUCGUUUACAUAUAAACAAUUGUCCUUUAAUUUAAAGAAGGGGAAAAAAGAAUAGUUUUUUUCUUAAACUUUUUUCUUUAUAUUUGCCGAGCAGGUAGAUUUUUGAAAAAAAAGAAGAAAACUAUAUAAUAGCUACGAAACGACCAAAUUUUGAAUGAAUCGCGAAAAUUGAAAUUCCAAAAAUCCAACAAAAUUUAGAUAACAGCACUGAGUUAUAAAAUAAACAAAAUAAUAGUACUACUAUGAGGAACAAAUAUGGACAACCAUUCAAUGAUAAACAGUAGGCUAAACCAGAAUUGCUUCCAUUAAUAAUAAAAUUUUGAUUUAAAGAAGAAAGUAAAAAAACCAAAACAUUCGUAAAGCUAUGCAGUCACAAUACUUAAAGAUAUAAACCAAAGCAAAACGCAGCCAGAUCACUUGAAAACAUUUUUCGUUCGCAAAGAAAAAAACACAAAUUACAAAGAUAGCGAAGUCCCCUUCCCUUUGAAUAAAAAAUUAAAUAAUACCUGUCUCAAAAUAUAAUCGCUUCUUCGUUUUUUUUUUUUUUUUAAAAGAAGAAAAGACUUGGAAAUACAUAAAAUUUUGAAAGAGUUUCCGGUUACGAAUCCUAAGGAAUGUAAUGGGCGAAUGGCCUCUGUUAUAACACGAAAUUGUAACAAGCCCUGUAAUUAUUUCCAAAAUUUCGAAAACUAAAAUACAGGUGAGGAAGCGAUAACCACCUAGUAGGAUAUUAUACCAUUGUUCAAAAUUUGAUGGAAACUUUCCUGUAAUAGUGCGAUCUUGAAGAUCGUGUAAAAGUUUCCGAUGUACAAACAUAACAUUGCAGAUAUGGUCGGUCAAUACAUUGACCGAAAAUUACCAAAAGUUAAAAAAAUAAAUUUAUUUUUUUCAAAUAAGUAAUGCAACUCGGUAUUCAUAAUUUAAAGAUACCAUAAAAUUGAAAUGAUGAUAUGAAAUUUAUGGUAGAGGUGUAAUUAGUCAAGAAAGCAAAGUAUUUUCGACAAAAGCGAGCAAAAUAAACAUAUCGGCAUAAGCUACUAACCACCCUUUAGAAAUUUAUAAAGGCUACUGAAGAUAUAUUGAAAGAAAAAGAAGAAGAAAAAAAAGUAAACGGAAAAAAAGAAAGAAGAAAGUAUUUUCGAAAAA